ACUGGAAAAUAAAAAUAAAUAAUUUUAUACAGAUUCCUACGAAUAUAAUAAUAAUAAAUAUAUUUCUAUAAAAAUUAAAUUUUUAUGUGUUGUCCUUACAAAGGUUCUAAUAUUUUCAAAUAUGUUCAUUUGAUUUAUUACCAUUGGAGAAUUAUUUAUAUUUUCAAUUUUAUCAUCACAAAUAUGUUUCUCCAAAAAUUAUAACAGUAUAAUAUAAGAGAAAUAAAAAUGUCAAAAUUAAUCAGGACAUAUGAUUAACUAAUAUUUUCUAACGAAUUUUAACGGCAGGAAUAUAUUUGAAAACAUCAAGAAUUUUGGAGGAACAAUAUAUAAAAGUUGAACUUUGUAGAAAUAUAUUUGCCAGUUAUUAUGUUUAUAAGAACAUGUAUAAAAUUAACCCAAAAAAAAAUACAGGUAAGUGUUAAAUAUAAAAAUGUUUAAAUACCGUUUUCUAAUAGCUUAAGCUUUUAAAGUACAACGGUUGUUUCACAUGGUAUGAGAGCAGGAGGUCCUGAGUUUGAGUCACGUCAGGCUCCUAACAUAUUAAUUUCCUCCCAUUUAAUUCAAGUCCACGUCAUGAGCCGAUUAAAAAGUCUUGAGCCCAGACACGAGGAAGAGUGUUAAAUAUAAAAAUGUACACCGUUCUCUAAAAGCUAAUGUUUAUAUAUUUAACAGUAAGUGCUUAUUUAUAGAGGAACGGCAAAAAAAAACUACUAAUCUAAGUCGGUCUAAAAUACAUAACUAAAUCCGGAUAAAAAAAUCGGGCCUGAAUAAAUUAUUUCGGAAUCAAAUUUGGGUUCGUUGGAAUAUGAAUAUUCGAACAAAAAAAGGUUAACGACCGGAUUCCACCAUAAUAAAUAAAAGUUAAAAUUAUAUUAUAUUACAUUAUUUUUAAUUAUAAAUAAUUUAUUUUAAAAAAUUAUACAAAAUAUCUUUACAAUUAUAAUCUUUUUAUUUUAAGUAUAUAAUUUUUAAAUUUUAAUUUUAAUUUAAUGCAUAUUUUUUAAAUUUUUUCAAAAAAUAUUGACUGAAAGCUGAGUUCAACAGAAUUCGAAUAUGAAUAUUCAAUUUUAAAUGGGGUUUGAAUCUAAACAAACAUAUUGUCCGAAAUUCGAGUUUUGGUCCCAACUCGGAAGACAGUUAAAUAUUUAUUAUUCUACCUUUAAAUAAAUAUAUUUUUUAUUAUAUUUAAAAUUAUUCACUGUAUUAAUACUUUAUUCUAAUUUAUAUAUACAUACCUCUCUCAAAAAAAAAAAAAAGUUGUAAGGUCCAAUUAUAGAAUAAAAUAUUUUGAGGGGGCUCAAUGUAAGAAAAGUCUUUUUAAACUUUGUAUGGAUAAAUAUGAAAUUGCUCUCGCAACUGCAUCGCUCUCCUCUCUCUCUCUCCUUGCGCCGCCCCCCGAAACUACGCUCCACGCUCAUGGCGAACUACGCCGAGCACCACCAAAACACUCGUUAGGGUUCCGUCUCCCUCGACCUCUACGGUGAGGGUGAAACCCUCGACCUCUACGGUGAAGGUGAAACCUCUCCUCGCUCCGUAUCGCGCUAAUCCGUUUCCUUCACACUUUAGCGAAGUUUAAUGGUUUGGUUCCCCAGUUUUCAUUAGCUUUUCCCCCAUCCUUAGAUCGAAGUUGCUUUAUAAUAAUGUAUGGAAACUCCUUCAACUAUAGGACAUUAUGAAACCCCCUUAAAUUUGAGUUUGGAAUUGAGUUAUUUUAGCUGAUUAAAAUGAGCAUUUUAUCGAAUUUAUCGAUGAUUCUAUGAAAUUCAAUAGUUUAAUCACUUCGUAUUAAAUGAAUCUAGAACAAUUAAUGAUUAAUAGCUAUUAAAGUUACUAAAUUUAACAGAGUUUGUAACUUUUGUAUAUAAGAAUAAUUAAAAUGAGAGAAUUAGAAGUGGAAGGUGUCUCGAUAAUUAUUAAAAAAAUGUAAAUUUGAGGGGGUACAUUUUUACUUUUUAGCUAUUUUUGUGUGGAGUAUGAGGUCGACCUUGGGGAAAGAGGUGAUACAUUUGAUCUUUAUUUCAUGGUUAAGUGUUAUCACCAAAUGUUUUUGAGUUCUUUCCCAUACUAAAACAGAAUUUAAUGCUUGCAAACCUGCUUGUACUCUGGUUUGCAAGUUUGGCUUUUCUGUUACAUGUUUAAAUGGGAAAUUUUAUUUAUUUAUUUAUUUUUGGACAUUGCAAUUUUUUUGCCCCAGAACUUCACAUUUUAAGCGUUUAUAUAAAAAUUCUUCAUAAGCGUUGGAUCAUUGAUCCAAAUGUUGAACUGAACAAUGCAGUUUGGCACAAUAUUGAUGCUGAUAACCUGGACCUAGAAUGCAUGGUGUGAUGAUUGGAAACUACUUUACACAAUCUGUUAACAGGUGUAAUUUGAAAGAGUAAGUGCAGAUGAGCAAACGACUGAGAAUCUUAGAAUAAGUAAUAAUCUAGCUUUACAUUAGACUGUUAAGUGUAGGAUAUCACUAUAUCCAUUAUCAAGCAAUUCCAAAUAUGCUGUUUUGCUUUACACAUAUAUUCGGGGGAUGACAAGAGAUUCUUUUCUUUUCCUUCUCUUUUCUCCUUUUCUGCUUAUAUUUUGGCAUGUAACAACAUGCUACUUCUGCACAUGGUGUUCUCAAGUUGUCCUUAUUUUUCUAUACAAUGAUGUGAUCUUGUCAAAGUAGUGGUCAAUGAUUACACAAGUGAUUGCUCUUUUAUUCUCCAUAUGUUAUACCGGUGAAAUACUAUACACUAUACAGACACCGCCAACUAUAGUUUGUUGAUCAAUCUAAAAAGCUUUUAAAGAUGCAGAUUUGCUUUUAUUUCACCUUGACGUGGUAUGUUUUUCAGACUUAAUUGGUAUAUAUGCAUAAGGAAACUCACGUCUAUUAUCAACUUCUUCAUCAUCCUAAUAGAAGUAAUGAGAAACUUUCUACCAAAGUGCUAACUGAAAAGGAUAAUUUAUACAAUCUUUGUAGUUUGUUCUUUUUCUUUUCAUUUUAGCUUAUACUAUUGAAUCGGUCUAACGAUUCACCUUCGUGCUGCUGCAAGCGAACUAGCUGAGAAUACGCACUUCUAGGUGUUCUAAUCAAGUCUUCAUGACUUCCCACUUCACAGAGUUUUCCAUCUUGAAGAACAGCAAUCAUGUUGGCAUUGCGGAUGGUUGACAACCUGUGCGCCACAAUGACUGUCGUACGACCCUCCAUGAGCCCAUUUAGAGCUUCUUGCACCAGCUUCUCAGAAGCCGUAUCGAGAGCACUGGUGGCCUCAUCUAGAAGAAGAAUUGCUGGAUCUUUCAAAAUGGCUCUAGCAAUUGCCACCCUCUGUUUCUGACCCCCCGACAGCUGGGCUCCGCGUUCCCCAACAUGGGUAUUGUACCCAUUGGCCAAUCGGCUUAUAAAGCCAUGAGCAUUCGCUGCUUUGGCUGCUUUCAUUACCUCUAUCUCAGAAGCACCAGCUUUCCCGUAUGCGAUAUUUUCAUAGAUUGUGGUGGAGAACAACGCUGGCUCUUGCUGAACCAGUCCUAUUUGUUUUCUCAGUGACCUCAAGUUUAGACUCUGGAUAUCAGUUCCAUCAAUCAGUAUCAUCCCUGAGUUUGGAUCGUAGAAUCUUACUAUGAGCGAUAUUAUAGAGCUCUUUCCUGACCCACUUCUUCCCACUAAAGCAAGGCUUCUUCCAGCUUCUACAUGUAAGCUUAAGUUCCGCAAUACAGUGACACAAGGCCUUGUUGGGUACUUGAAGCUCACAUCCCUGAACUCUAUCUGUCCUCGGAUAUUCUCAGGCUCUAUAGAUUCAUCGGGUUUUAUAUCGAUCUUUCUUUCAAGUAGAGAAAAGACUGUGGUAAGUGCUUGCGAUCCCUUUACGAUGUCGGGAGUUAGGGCUAGGGUCUCUGCAAUGCUGAGUGCAGUGAUUAUUAACACCAUGAAGGACUUAAUGAUACUACCAAAGUCCGAUUCUCGGUGCUUAAGAAGCUGCGAGGAAUACCAAAGGCCAAGUGCAUAAGAGCAGUAGGCGAAUAACUGGGAGAGGCCGUAGCCUAUGCCUGAUAUAUGCCCACGUAAACAGGCUUCUCUGUUAGGCUUCUGUAGUUUACUGAUAAAUUGGAGUGAUAUCCGGUCCUCAGCACCAAAUGCCGCUAUUGUUUUGAUGUUGGCAAUCGCUUCUUGUGCCACGGAAGUUGCUUGAGCAUAGGCAAUCGUGUAAUUCCCUCCAAAUCCCUUGAGAAACAGGUGCUGCAUGGAGUGCAUAGAAAUAGUUAACAAAAUUUAUCCCUGUUAGGCUUCAUGAUAGGAGUUGCUAAAGUACUUCCUGAUCAUUACCUCAGCUAUUGCAGCACCAAUGAGUAGAGGGAACGUGGCAAUGACAACUGCUGCUAAACGCCAACUAAGAAGAAAUGAUAUGACAAAUGCGGUCGCUGUAAGUGAUAGAUUCUGAAUGAUGGUUGACAACCUCUCGGAAACUAUGCUUCGCAUUAGUGUUGCUUCAAUUGCCAAAGUUGACGUGAGUGAUCCACAACUAUUCUCUUCCUUAUCGAACCAUCCUAUCUCUUUCCUUAAAAUAGCUGUGUAGAAAAGAAAAAUGUGGCGCUAAAUGUGAGAUGAAUAUAAACUUAAAUUAUCUUCCUAAGUAUACGAUGCAUACUGUUCACUUGUGUCUGUGCAUUUGAAUGAUUAAAUUUGAUAAAACUAAAGACUGAUUGUGAUGUAAGAUUACAUCAAACCCAGCUAACUUAACAAGAUUUGGUAAAACAGUGAUAAAUGAUCGAAAAAUCAUUUCAACUGCUCAUUUGAUUGGAAUUCAUUAACUGGGCAUCUGUGUAAAUGUGCAGUAAUAUGGUUAAUAUUCUCUACUUUUAUGGUCUGUAAAGAUGUCAUCUGAAGAAUAGUUCCUUUGAGGGGCCUUAGUUGUUAAUUUCAUCAUGAAACUAUAUGGCUUUGCUUAUUAUGAUGUUGUACUGAGUUCUAUAUUUUGCUAAUUUUUAUACAUUUUGCAUGAAAAGAUAUGGUGACAGAUUGGUUUCCAGCUACAUUGUUAUGUGAUUGCUUUUGAAGCAAAUGAAAAGACAUAUUUGUAUCCACUGUUAGAUCAAUGUAUUCCGAUGAGGGAGCUGCUGAUUGAUACCUGAGAACAUAAGUAGGCGGACACGCGUGGUGAGCUUCUCUCCCAUUAAGGUGUAGAAAUAAUGUUGCAAUACGUAUAUAGGUACUGUGAUGAUCGCUGCUCCAAUGAAUAUGAGUGAGAUGAUCUUGAUCUCAUGUUUGAUGUGAGGUUUAUCAUGAGAAUAAAAUGCAGAGAGGACAUGAGUAAUUCCUAGAGCAAAUAGUGGACCUUCGGCCCCCGCAAGUAUCGCACCGAGUGAUCCCAUCAUUGCAUAUGGCCAUUCUGGCUUGUUCAGUUUUAUUGCUUUCCAUAUCAGUGGUGUUUUUGCCAACUCAGGUUCUUCUCUGUGAAAUCCUUGCUGCUGUAUCCGAAACAUUGACUUUGUCUUCUCAUUAUAUUCUUCGAUUUCGGGAAGAAGCCGUGAUGUUUUUGAAGGGUCCCUAAAGAAAACAACAUUAUAAAGACUUGGCCAGAUAUUAAUGAGCUGAAUAAGAUUGAUAGUCCUAUAUGCAUGUCCACUUACAUUGUUUCCUUAACAUUGUCGCCAUUCUUGUACUCGUUGUUUUUUGAUACUUGAAAUCGCACCAGAGUGGCAUACUCUCCAUUUUCUCCUUUAGACAUUAAUUCUGAGUGUGUGCCGCUUUCAAUGACUUUUCCAUUCUUUAGGACAAUAAUGCUAUCAGCUUUCCUAAUUGUGGAUAGCCUGUGUGCAACCACAACUGUUGUCCUAUCUAACAUUAUUUUCUCCAAGGCAUGUUGAACCAUGCAUUCUGAUUCCGCAUCUAGUGCACUAGUAGCUUCAUCUAGAAGUAGAAUUUUUGGAUUUCUAAGAACUGCUCUGGCAAUGGCGAUUCGCUGCUUUUGGCCUCCAGAGAGCUGCACUCCACCUCCCACCUUAUUAAACAAAAUUAAAAAAACACACUUAUAUGGCAUAGCGAUGAGAAAGAGAAUGUUUGUGGUGGCAUUUCUAUGGAAUGACUGCCAUGUCGCCCAUGUUGAUGACAAGGGUGGAAAAUCCACUUUUUUCUGUUUAGUAAAUCAAAUGAGAACUAAGCUCUUUCUAGGUACUUUUGUUCAACCAUUCAUGCAUUUGAAUGAUAUAAUCUGAUGAAAUUGAAAAAUGAUUGUGGAAAAGACUAAUUUCGUCAGUUUCUAAACUUGGGUUUUAGUAAACCCAAAGAAUUUCAAUUAAAUUCUCCAAAAUUAUUGGUGAGUAAUUUUCCGUCGCAAGCAUCAUUUUUCUCAGCUGCAUUAAAGGUUUUUGUGAAAUUAAGAGUUAAUUUUCGGAUUUUGUCCUUAAACUUUAAACUUAAUUUAAUGAAAAUAUAGUUUUGAAGAAUUUUUGGUUCACGUAAGUUGGGUACUAGAAUUUAUGUAAGAAUACAGUUGAUAACCUUCAGCAUAGAUAAUCUGAGAAACUAAAAAUAAAAAAGAGGGUAAAGAUUCAUCAGCAUGAAAUUACCAAGCGGUCCAUGCCAAUGACACACUCCUGUGCCACGGGCCACAGCAUCACAAUCAAAGGCAUGUAGGUUUUCUACGUACCUCGGUGAAGUAUCCUUCAGGUAAACCUUGUAUAAAAGAAUGAACAUUCGCAACUUUAGAAGCCUCUAUUAUGUCCUCCAUGGUUGCUCCUUCUCUUCCAUAUGUGAUGUUUCCUGCGAUUGUUGUAGAAAACAAUGCAGGUUCUUGACUCACGAGUCCCAUUUGCUUCCUUAGCCACGCCAAUCUGAGGUUCUUUAUAUCAUGGCCAUCCAAAAGAAUAUUACCUAUUUUAUGUCAAUAAAUUGGCAGUUACGAACUUUCUUUUAUGCAUUUGUUUCUUAUUUUGUAUUGUUAUUCUAACUGAUUUGCACCUGAUUUUGGCUCAUAGAAUCUUUCAAUCAUGGAAAUAAUGGUGCUCUUUCCUGAUCCACUCUGACCGACAACAGCUGUAGUUUUUCCGGCGCUGAUUGUGAAAUUUAAGCCGUUGAAAACCACGCUCUUCCUUGACGGGUAAGCGAAAGACACCUCACAAAACUUGAUUUCACCUUCCACUUGUGGUAAUACCAUUCCAUCAUCCGAUGUUUUUGAUGUACUUGGAGCCUUUUCUAUCAUGCUGAUAAUCUUUCUUGCUGCAGCAUGGCCUUUCGCAAGAGAACUAAUGUUUGGAGCUGCUUGACCAAGAGCGCUGCAUAUGUAGUUUAUUUGUUAAAGAGAUUACAUCUAUGUUUUAAAAAAACAGUAAAAAAAUGUAUGGAGACCCCUGCAACUGUUAGCCAUCUUAAAAUAGAUACCCGCCCCCAAUUUUAUGUUUUGAUUGAGAUCCCCUUGCCUUUUGAUUGCUCUGAUUUGAGUUAUUUCAGUCAAUUGACUAUCAAGCAAAUGAAUUUGGGCGAUCUAUUUCAAAAUGGCCAAUAGCUGAAGGAUCUACAUACUUUUUUACCCGAAAAAAUAACAAUUAUAAGGGAUAUUAUCCAUUAGAUGAUCUUACAAUCCACUGAAGAUAACAUUUAGGAUCGUUGUGAAUGCUUUACCACCAUUCGUGACACCAUGCCUAACAAGGAGACCAGCAUACCAAAGGAGUAGUGCCCAUGCACAAAAUAACAGCCCAUAGGUCGAACCUACUCCAAGUCCUUUUACAAGUCCACCUUUUGUUCCCAAUUUCAGUGCCUUUCUAAGUGAUUUUGAGUAUGCUUCAAUUGCUUUUUCUUCCCCUACGUACGAAUACACUGUCCGGACCUGUGAAAUUACCUGAUCCAUGGAGAGUAUGGUUGUGACAAUUCAAAUUAAGGCUAAUAGAGACGUCAAAAGUUAGUCAAAUUCUAGCAUACUUUUAUGCAUAUUUAUGAUGCUUAUACUCUGUCAGAUACUCGACGGAUAAUACAAUGCAGAAUAAUUUUCUGGUUGGGGUAUGAAAUUAUUGAUGAUCUCUUCUGUCUUACUUGAAGGAAGACAAUCUCUCAUAACAUUUUUUAGCAUUUUACAACUCUUGCUUUCAUGGAAACCAAUAUUAAAAUGAUCUGUCAAUGGAAAAUAGGAAGAAAAGGUAAGAGGUAUCACCUCUUCUGCAACUUUUCCGGCUUCAGCAUAUGCAGUUUCACCCUUCUUCGACAGACUGGACAUUAUAACAGUAUAUGUGCCUCCGGCGAUUACCAUUAGUGGUACAACAGCUAAGGUGAGUAGUGUUAGCUGCCAUACUGAAAAAAAUCCUACAAUAAACCCUACCAAAAACUGCGAAAGGUACCGUAAGCAGUGGCCUAUCUGCACAAUAUACAGAGAAUGUUCAGUUUUCUUAAUAAAGUCAUAUGAACUAAACUAUUUCUAGACUGAAGGGUGUCACAAAGUUAAAUAAUAGGUAAAAAAAGUAUGGACUCAGCUGAAUUGUACCUCAUCUCGAAAGGGAUGCCUGAACUUUAAAAGUUUUGAUUUUACUGCAUACUGUCGUACUCAAAACUAACAUUUUUAUUUAUCCUUUUUGAUGAAUAUGUUGCAAUCUAAAAAUAUCAUGUCAUUUGAUGAAAUAUUCAAUAUGCAAUUUAUUAAAAAAUAUUAAAUUCUAACAAAUGUUUGAAAGUUUUCUCGAAUAAAAGGAAAAUGAAAGAUUAUGUAGUACAACCAAAAAUUUCGAAGUUUGUCCAUCUCAAAAUGCUCUAUAGUUUAAGUUUAGUCUACUUUUUUAAACUAAAUUUUGUUCAGUAUUCAGCAUUCUAUCAUUUUUUUUUAAUAUGUGUAAAGGAAGAGAUGCGUAUGAAAUGCACACUGUUUGUAUGCUCAUAGGAGACAACAUAAAUAAUCGUGUGCUCGAGCAAAGUCAAGUCGUCAAGUAAAUCUGCUGCUUCCUGCUUACUUUAUCGCCUAUUGCGUCCUGGAUGAGCACAGCAUCACUUGUUAUGUGGUAAAGUAUGUUUUCAUUUCUUGCUUGUGUAUCAAAGAAGCUCAUAUCUUGCUUCAGGACACACUGGAUGUAUUUGAUCCGUAAUCUAGCAGUUUGUCUCUCACCGGUUUGCAUCCAAAAUGCUACCCCUGCAUGUGUAUUUUGUGAUGAAACCUCGUAGAAUAAUAAAAACGAGAUCAUUAUAGUUGUUAAUGUAGAUAUAUUAAGAAACAUUGGCGUCGUUCCUUAAAUUGUUGGUUGUAAGUAACAUGAAAAUAUCACCUGAUGCCUUUGAAAUCAAAUUGCUUAUGGGAAAGUAUGAGAUUAUUUUGAAAAUAUGUCGCAUCUUUCUGUAAACUUAGUUGCUAAAAGUAUAAUUAUCAUCACAUACCUAUACACGCUGAUACCAUUACCAUUAUUCCGAGAUAAACCAACUGCAGUGCAUUCUGCAAAGAAAGGAAAAAACUUAGAAUUCCUUUUAGGACUAGAUGAUGAUUAUGAUGAUGAAUUUUCCAGUUGAAAGGACUGCUUUAAGUGGUGAUGAGUAUCUUUAUAUGUGUAUUGGCAAUGUGAAUCAUUCUCUUAAGAAUUGAAUGUUAUGUUAAUAGUUGGUCUUAGUAGUUUGUCAAUAAUUUUGUCUGAGUCUCGUAUUUGGGACUUGCAUCUUUCAUCUCUUCCUUUUAUUCUAAGCUAGAAUCUUAGAUUGUGUUGUGUUACUGGCAUCGUUAAUCCUGUAAUUGUCUACAAUGUUUUUCUAUUUUCUGUUAUGUAAAUAAAAUUCACACUGCUUAUAAUUCCUUAGUCUUCUCAAGGUUCCCAUGAUACAUAAAGCUGUAAAAUUUUACAUUGCUAAAUUCCAGUGCUCUUACGCUGUGGCUUCAUUUAAAGCCCAUUUGGUAUAUGUUUACAUAGUGUAGCUGGGCUUUUAGAAGUGAACGCUAACCAUGAAAAUUUUUCUACUUUUGUAUAUUAUUUCCUGCUGCAGAUAUGUGUUUUCUAGGGCUUUCCCUUGCAGCGUUGAAUAUGCAAGCUGAGUUCUCAACCGUGUUUAAGGUCUCACAGUAAUGCUUCGAGAACCACAACGUGGACCUCAGCAAUACUUCACUCAAGAAGCAGAGUCAUCAACUACUUUUGAAGAGACCUUUUAAGGUCCCACAGCAAUGCUCCAGUUGAGAAGCUGGGCCUCAGCAACACUCUGGUCAAGACGCAAAACAAAAGUGUUACCUUUGAGACCUCUGAAGCAAGUUUAUGGGGGUGUGUAGAGAGAGAGCCCAAGGAGUCGAUCAAGCGGCCGAAGAGCAUGAAGAAGAUGGGCAAUGCAGCUCCAUGGACGCAUGAUCCGAUGCCGCCGAGCACCAUCAACACGCAGUCCGCCCGGUUGGCGAAGGCGAAGAGGUUGGUUCUUGAUUCGUUAUCGUCUGCGCCUCGGGUGCUCGACACCUCAUUCUCGUUGUUCUCAUGAGUGUCUCCCAUGGACGCAGAGUUGUUGAGAUGUUGAAAUGGGUUCGAGUUUCGGAAGCAAAAGGUGGUGCAGAGAGAGAGAGAGAGAGGNUUGUUAAGCCACGAAGGCGAGGAGAGUUUGUUCGCAGCGUAGUUCUCGUGAAGAGCUAGAGCUAGAUCACCAAAUGAGACUCGAAAAGUUAUUGAAUAUAUGAGCAGUAAAGUUUAUGGAUGGUCAGUGUGUUGUACCAUGUCAUGAAAUUGCGGCUUCAAUUUGGCUCUACUGUAGGGUGCAGUAGUACUAUUUGACAGUUGCUAUUAGAAAUAAUACUUACAUUAAGUUCUCUCCAACAACUCUACACUGAGUCAAUUUAUAAUCUUUUGCCUCUUGAUACAGUAGAAGUUUUAAAUUUCAAGUUAUCAAAUGCUCUGUAACAGAUUAUUAUUGCAGCUGAAUCUUUUAUGAGAAAAAGUCCUUUCACAAAUGCGAGCAAUAUGGCCAUUUCUUUUUCAUGUUCAUGGGUAAAAUCUCUAGUUGAGGAACUAAAAGUGUUUUUAGGUGGAGGGAUUAAGUUGUGUUAUGGGGAUAGCACAGGGACAACCCAUGCAUUUUUACCCAUAAAUGAGCACAACUAACCAGCCUCUCCUGCUUGCUAACCAACUACCCCCCAAGCUUUUUCUUACUCCCUCAUGAAUCUUGUUGGUACAUUACCCUGUGUGUGAAUUGAAUGUUCUUGGCUCGCUUUUCUUUUACUGGUAAAAGAUCUAAAUGCAUGUACAUGAGUGUGGUAGUGGAAACAUUUAUAAGCUUCAGGGUUGUUUGGAAGCGGAAAGUCGGAGAGCGAGAAAGCUGUGCCUGUCGCGCACUCGACUUCGCCCUCCAUACCGAAGUCGAAAUGCCAUUUACAAUUAUGAGUGAGAGUUCGGGCGAUUUUGUGAUUCUGGUACUGAAACAAAUGUCGAUGUCGAUGACUUUCUCGGAGUUAUGAGUGCAACCACCGAAAUCCAGAAGAACAAGGAAGGUUUUUAGUGACAUAGAGUCCAACAUAUAAAUCAAAUAAAAAAUAAAUCAUCAAUGAAAAGACAAGAAUACUGGGGUAGAAAUAUGUAAUUUUUUAUUGUUAUCUAUAAUACUAAAAAAAAUUAAUUCUUUUAGUAGUAAUCUAGGUUGUGUCAGUUGUUCAUUUAUUUGGCUGUCAGGAAGACCUGCCAAAAUUCAUUGCCUCAUUAUCAAACCACUCUCUCUCUCUCUCUCUAAUCCUCCAAAAACUAAAUUUUGUAAUAGAAAACGUCAAUGAAUAGUAGUUUUAAAUUUUUAAUAUAUCCUGCUCAUUUGUAUCGGGAUAAUCACGUAAAACAAACCAGACAGCUCGAUGUCAAAUUACAUAAAGGGACAUACACUGAUAGAAAUUUAUGUCGUAAAAUGAUAGAUAUAUGAAUUGAAUCCAACACCUCCUUAAAAGCAAGCGAACUUUAGAUUGAUUCUCGCAACAUGUUAUCCAAAAGAUCAAUCCGAUAUAAAAUACUCAGAAAAAUAAUAUGACCUAGAAAAUAUGAAAAAUAUGGUGCCUUUUCUUUUGCCUUUUAGAUGAUGGCACUAUGAAGUAAAUUAAGAUGUAGGGCCCCUCAAUUGAAUUGUAAUCCAGACAUAGACACUGAUGUACUAUGGUUGUCUUCUGGUGGGUUCAUGAAGUGUGUGCUUCAGGACAGCAUACAACCAUUAAAUGCCAAUAAAAAAGCUGGGUCAGGAUUCAGAAAGUGAGAUGACCAUUAGCUUGUUUUAUAUGUUUCAUUACUAUUAAUAGUAUAACAGUAUAACUCAUAUAGAACUAGAUUACUAUACUAUUCGUAGUACAAGUCAUUGGUGCUAUAAGGUUUUCCGCCUUUAGAUAAAGAGAUGUGUGGUUAGAAUGAUAGUGAUCCUUUAGGAUUGAGUGAAUGGUUGGUUGAAUAGUAUAAUAUAAUAGAUGUUAAUAGUUAAAAGAAUAAAUCUAAUGACAGAAAACUUGGUAGCACAAAGCGUUUGGUACUAUUGAUAGCAUAGUAGCUAAACUCUAUAAAUAGUACCAAGUGCUUGAUGUUACCAAGUUUUCCGCAAUUAGAUUUAUCCAUUUAACUAUUUUUGCCCGUUAGAUCAUAUUAUUCAACCAACCACCCACUCGACUCAGGGUACCACUAUCAUUCUAACCGUACAUCCCUUCAUCUAAGAGCCAAAAAUCUAAUAGCACCAAUGACCUAAUGUUAUUAAUAGUGUAAUAACCUAGUUCAUAAAUUUAUAUCCAUUUACGUUGACAAAUAAUCAAUUGAUAUGGAAAAAGGAAAAAUAGAAAAAGAAAAAGGGUAAAGAGAAAAUGAGGAACAUUUUACGGCAAGUAUCAAUAAACAAUUUACUCACAUCAACAAAGAGUUGAGUUCGCCAAAAAUGGGCUUUUCGGCUUGCGAAGCCCAAGGCCUUAACGAGCGAAAUCACAAUAGCGGUCACAAAGGCCCUAGGCACCACAUUUACAAAUAUACAAUAGUCUCGAAACUCUGACCUUACGAAUAAGUUAAUAAACAACUCACCACCAAACUACUAGUGAUUUGGCGGUAAAAAUGUUCUUCAAUGUUACCAUAUUCGAUUGGAACUCUGAAUUUUAAUGCCUUACCACCGAAAAAAUUCCUCGCAAAUUUUUUUUGUAAUCCUCUAUGUAUCAAUAAAAACAUGUAUACCGUGGCAGUUAGUCCUGGAUUAGCUUCAUUCUCUGUUCUGACUAUAUUUUGCAAGAUUUUAUUUAAGUUUGGACCAAACUUUUUAUCAGUUAUUCUCAAGUUAAUUCUAAAUAAAACCUUUCCCUAUAUGGAACUGUUCUUGUAAGGACUUUGAUCUAGACUUAUUUGGAGUUCUAAUUCUUUUGUUACAGAAGAAAUUUGUUUCAACAAAUGGACAGCUAAUUAAUUAAGUAAAUUUUCCAUUAGAUAAAUCUUUCUCUCGCUUGAAUGUUAUUUGGGUAAUUUUAAUUUUUAAAUGACUGAUCAUGUCAAGAUAAGAAAUGAUAAAAUGCCCCCGAAAAUAAUUAAGUAUCAUGCUCUAAUAUACAUUAUUACUAAUGUGUAGCGAUCAACUGUUUGGAGGCUCCAUCAUUAAAAAAAAAGAUGUGUAAGAAUCAAGAGGUUAGUACUUUUAAAAGUAUUUCAGUUCAACUCUCUCUCUCUCUCUCUCUCUCUUGAGAGAGAGAGAGAAAUAAAUUCGAGGGCGCGAUAUGGAAAUUAACUAUAAAUUCCUUAUGGUUUAUGUUCAAUCAUGUGUUUAAUAUAGGAUGCAAUGGUUUAUUUGCAAUGUAAUUAUCAUCCUAAUGUUUGCUCAAAUUGUUGCUUAUUUAAUUCUAUAUACUUCACAAUUGACUUAAAAAAAUAAAACUAUUUAAUUGCAUAUGUCGUAACAAGAAAAGAAGUGUAUAUAUAUAUAUAUAUAUAUAUAUAUACCCAUUCAAAAAGAAAGUGUGUCACCCAUUAAUGGCACCUUAAAUGUAAUUUGUAUGUACCUUAAUUAUAUGAACUCGUAUGAUCUAAUUAGAUAUGACUUAUGAGAGGAUACAAUGCCAAACUUAGUCUUGGAGUGUUGUUGUUGUUGUUGUUGUUGUUGUUGUUGUAAUUGUUGUUUUUUUUUUCUCUCUCUCUUAGUUCUUUUGUUUAAGGGAUUUUUUUUUUUUUUAAUGGUGAUGAAAGAAUUACAAAAUGGAUUUUAAUUAAUUUAUAACUAGAUCUCAUCUAAAUGAAAAUUUUAUUGGUAAGAGCUCUUCUAAUAUGAGCACAACUCACAAUAAUCUCAAUUCUCCUCUCUCCUCCAAUCCACAACCCCAAUUUGAUAUGUAUUUCUACUCAAAAAAAUAUAAAAAAACCUUGUUACCUCUAUUUCAAUACUUUUGUUCACUUACAAAACCAAGAUCUCCUUCCUAAUUCUUUUUUUUGAGAGAGGGAGAGAGAACUUUCCUUACUCAUUCUUGACAUUAAGAAUAUGAUCAAUGCAACAAAAAUUCAUUGUUCCAUCAAUUCCAACAAUGGUCCAAUAGAAAAAUAAAAAAUAGACUAAAUUACAUAAAAUCUUCCCGUCAAAAUUUAAUUUUUCACUUUUCAUUCCUAUCAUUUAAAAACCUAUACUUUGCCCCCUUAUAAAAUAAAAAUUGGUCAUGAGGAGUACGGUGUAAACUGUGAUGAUAAAAUGAUCAUUUUACUUCUCAUCAUUUUUGGCAACAGGAGAGAAGACUGAGGAUAUUUUUGGCAUAAAAAUAUAUAUAAUAAUAUUUUAUAAAUGGAACCCUAACGAAUCAUUAACGACAGGAGGUAAAAUGAACAUUUUUUAUUUUAUAAAGGGGUAAAGUGUAGGUUUUUAAAUAUAGAUUUUUAUUUUAUAAGGGGACAGAGUAAGUGGGAGAAAAGUGAAAAAUCAAAUUUUGACAGAAAAUUUUUUAUAAUUUAGCCUAAAAAAUAAUAUGAAAAGCUUGUUUAGACUAUAACUUCCAUUACUUAUGUAGUUGUCGAUGUGCCCGUUUAUAUUGUAUAAAUCAAUCUGCACAUGACACAUCAGUAGUAUAUUAAGAAACCAACAACGCUAACUCUAAAUCAUUUCAUCUCAAUUGCUCUAUAAUCCAACACUCCAUUAUUCACAGGUAAUUGUUGAUGGAAGGGAGGAGGGCUCAUGCACAACUCCAGGUUGAGAUCUGGACACCGAUAAUGCUCGCAGGGCGCCGUCGCCGAUGUCUCCUCGUCCUGUCGAAGAACCCCUUCCUUUUGAUGCUUCACCUCUUCUUUAACAAAAGAAGCGGCGAAAUCCGAGGGCGGCGCCUGGAUCGGGUGGUGCGUCGCAGGGUCGAUCCCGCGGCUCAACAGCUUUCGUCUGAUGUGCGUGUUCCAGUGGUUCUUAAUUUCGUUAUCCGUCCUCCCCGGCAAACUCCUGGCUAUAACUGACCAUCUAUAUAUACAUUUAUGUGGCAGUUUGUAAGAACUGUCAUUCUUAACAUGAUAUCAGAGCGAGCUAGUUACGUAAAAAUGAAUGUGCGGUGUUUAUUACUUGUUGCCCAGGAGGCUGUGGAGCUUGACGAUGAGCUCGUCCUCGUCGUGGGAGAAGUUGCCGCGCUUGAGGUCGGGGCGGAGGUAGUUGAUCCAGCGGAGGCGGCAGCUCUUGCCGCAGCGGAGGAGGCCGGCCGCCUUCGGCAGCGACCGCCAGCACCCCUCGCCGUGCUCGCGGAUGUACGCGACGAGGCGGUCGUCCUCCUCCUUGGUCCAUGCACCCUUGUUUGUGUGGGCCUUCUCACAACAAGGAGACCUCCCCAUGGAUGAUGAUGAUGAUGAUGAAGAUGAUGAUAUGGAUGGUACUAGUUUGGUACUAGUUUGGUACUUGGAAUAUUUUUCUCCUUUUGUUUUUGUUGUUGUUCUCUCCUCCUCCUAAAGAGUCUCAACAAAGGCUUGGCAUUGCACUUGGGGUUGGUCUUAUAUAGUUAUUUGACUUGUGAGAGAAAGAGGGGAGUAGGGUUUGGUGCAUUUGGAGAAACUAAUAUUGCAUGUACCCUGUGCACAAGUAUCUUAAGCGCAUAGCAAUUAACUAGCUAGGAAUUAUUGGCUUAAAUGGGUCAGCAUCCUGCCCUGUGACGGAAGGCUAAGUGGGCCGAGUCACGUUCGAAAUGACGUGCGACUGGGUUGGACCGAGUCAUGUUCGAAGUGGCGUGAGACUGGUUGGACCGAGUCACAAUCGAAACCUGUGGACGCUGUAUUUGUACACUUUAAGUGAAUUGAUUGCUUAUUUCUAAUAGCUCGAGCUUUUGAGAUUAAUGGUCAGUGCCAACGAUCCAACAGGAAUGUCAAUGGGUACAAGUAUCUGAAAUUUUAUUUAAAUCCGAAUUGGAGUUAAGCGAAUUUAUCCGAUACUAAACGGGUAUAGUUUUGGAUACGGGUAUAUAAAACAAAAAUCCGACGGAUUUGAACUUGAAUAUAAUUAAAUUUUGUCUCUACCUGACUCGGAUCCAAAUCAGACUUAAAUUCGAAUUGAUUUUACAUUAUAUAAUAUAUAUUAAUAAUUAAUAUUACAUUUGAUUAUGUAUUUAAAAAAUUAGAUUUAAUGUAAUAUAUUUUGAAAUAUGGUAAAGAAAAAUAAUUGUUUCAUAUUUAGCUUUUUGGUUCCGGUUUGGAUUUCGGAUUUUUGAUUGAGUAAAUUUUUCUUAAAGCCGACAAAACACUUGCACUCUUCGGAUGGCAAGGAUUAAAGUACGGAACAUAAUAAAAGAAGCAUAAGAAUUUUUGCACACGAGAUUUUAAGUAAACUGCCACUAUAACAUAAUUAGAUUAUAGGGAUAUAUUUUUAGAAUAUUUUUAUGUAAGUAUUUUAUUUAUGUCAAAAUUUUUUAAAAAAAUCUACUAAUAUUUAAAUAUAAAGUUCAAUCCAAUCAAAAACAAAAAGUUUCUUUACUCAAUCAACCCCACCGAGUUACUCGGCCCGAUUACAAAUAGAAAAGAAAAAAAAAAAAAAUUGAUCAUCAUCUACCUUCCUCCUCCUUCGUCGCAACCAACGAGAUUAGGUUCCGACAGCUGGAGUUCGGUCGCGAGGAUCUCACAGAAACCGUAGAAGGUUGCGAUCGCCACUUGUCCCUCCGGCAUAGCCCACAGGUCGCUGGAAGAGUAGAUGCCAAACAUCAAGGCGACCCUACAUAUAGCGACACUUUUAAAAUAUGUAAAUAAUUAAGCUGGCAACACUUUUUUUUUUAAUCUAUGCUAAUAUUUAAAAGUAUUGCUAUACACCAUUUUUGUUGUAAUGUACACCCAUAUAUAGAAUGGAUCGAGUGGGAUAGUGCAGUGCAUGGGAUGAUGUGGUGCAUCUGGUGCAGGCAUUUUUUUGGCUAUUUUGGGUCUUCUAGAUACAAGUCGGUGACUAAAAGAGUAUUUUUCAUUACUUAUAUAAGGGCAAAAUAUAUUAGUCCCUUUCCUUUCUCAAUAUUGCAAUUUGGUCUAAUAUAUUUUUCCUUCAAAUAUUAUAGUCCUUAAAACUCUAUAAAUGUUGUAUUUUAGUCUCUAAUCGUCAAAAAAAUGAAAAAAAAAAAAUCUAAUCAUUCAUUUGUACAUAAAAUGAGAAGCUUAAUUAGUUCAAUGCAUUUCAAGUAAGGUUAAAAUAUUAUUUCACAAGACUAAGUCAAAUUUUUCUGAACAUAUGAUAAGAAAUUAACUAAAAUUUUUAAGCCAUGAGAAAUAGGACCAACCUAGAAAUUUGGAUAGUAUAGGGACCACCCGCACAAAAAUUUUAUCAAGAAAGAUGCAACAUUGAAAUGUUCAUAAUUAUUGAUUAACAAAAUUAAAAAAAAAAAUUAAAAAAACCAAAACAAAACAAAAGAAUAAAAACAAAAAAGGCCAUCACCAUCAAAAGCACAUGAUAUUGCUUAGUUAAGCAGUAUAUAAAAGAAGAAAACAACAAAAGAUUAAUUAUUAUGCGUGAGCUCAAACAGGAAUAAAAUGAAAAUUAAGUUAGGGUCUUAAAAGUAUAUAUGAGUUGACACUUGACAUGGUCCUUAAUUAAUUAUAUAUGUAUCUUAUCCACUUUACUUGCUAAUUAAUCCUUUUUAUUUAGUUAAUGACCAUUCAUAAUGGCCAUGUUUAUUGCCUUUUUCAUAUUUUUUAACAUAAAUGGCACAUCUUGAUGCAAGUUGGAGGCAUUUAAUUAAUUAAAUAUUCUGAUUGUGAUGUUAAUUAGAUAAAUUUUAUCAAUUGAUGCAUUUACGGUGCAUUAUUAAACAUUAUCUAAAUUAUUACAAGUACUUAACAAGCAAGUUUAAUUAAGAUUUGCAGCAUCAUUUACAUUAGGAAUAAAAUUAUCUCAAAAUUAUUAUUGAAAAAUCUCAAACUUUUUUUCUAUUUUUUUAAAUACCAAUUUUAUAUAAAUGUGUUAGAAGAAAAAAAAAAUUAGUUGUUAUAAUUGGUUAGUUUAUAACGCAUCCGAUUAAGUGGUAGAUGAAAACUUGUUUAAAAAAUUUUGGAAACAAAAAAAAAAGUUAUUUUCAAAUUUUAAUUUUUUUAUUGUCAAGAAAUUAAUUUGGAUGAAAGAAUUGUUAGCAAUAUUCACUUUUCACUUCUAGGUCUGUUCAUAAAAAAAUUUAUUUUAAAAAAUAAAAAACAAUCAUGAUACCAAACGAGGCUUUUACCGUCAAAAUGAGCUUCUUUUUUUCUUUUUUUCUUUUUUUCUUUUUUUUGUUUAACAUUGUAGAGCAAUCCAAAUCUUUUGAACUUUGCUAAAACUUUUCUUUCACUAUACAUUCAAAUCAAAAUCAACGGUUUCCAUCUUUAUGCAUUAUAUUUGAGGAAAAAUUCUAGAAUGUACCAGUUAUAUUAGUGACAUAGUGUCCUUAAUCAAUCAAAUGACUCUUUUUUGAAGUUAUCUGUCACAUCAUGACUAUAAAAUAUAUUUCUGUUGUAUUUUUUUUUGAAAAGAAGAGAUAUAAUUAAUUUGUUAUUGAUGAUGUGGUGUAAGUAUGCCAAAUCAGACUUUCUCACAUUUGAGAGAGAGAGAGAGAGAGAGCCAAACAUAUAUCUAGAUUAAAAGUUUGGAACAUUAGAUAUUCAAAUUAAAAGUUCAAGGACCAAAGUAAAACUCCUAAUGAGAUUUGAAAACUACCAGUACAUUUUACCCUAAUUUUAUUUCUCUCCAGCCUUUCAAGGUUCCACAGUCAAAAAGUAGGAUUAGAGUGACUACAAAAAGUUCUUAUGAAGAGCAUCACCAUGAAUAGCUCUAAUUAGGUUGGCUUUUUAUGUUGGCAAAAAUUGGCCAUACACAUAAUACUCGACCUACUUUACUAUCAAUAAGGUACUGCUGGGGGUUUGCGGAGAGAAUACGUCAUAUGUUGUGAGAAAGUUUGAUGAAAAAUAUUAUGUUUGUUUAUAUUCGUAAUAUCAUGUUUCACAUCUCGCAAUUAGCCAAAUAUAAUAUAUUUUCUAUAGACUCGCCGAAAAAUAGAGGAGUAUAUCUUUACAUACUUUCGCCUCGACUCCGUUUUGGCUACUAAUAUUAGAUUGGACUUUAAUACCAAACGGGCCCUAACUUACUCAAAAAAGUGUGUUUUCUUUAGGUUAGUUGGAGGAGGUAAAAGCUUUUGAUGGAUUAGCACAUCUUGAGCAAUAGGAGCCCACAUGCAAACCAAAUAUCUAAGUAUGAGUACCUAUCACACUAAUGUAACAUUUCCACAUUGUGGGUCCAUUUUCCUCUUAGGUAGGUGCCAAACAAUGGAUCACUAUGAUUGAGAUUAUACAACAAACCCUACAUGUAAUAGACUUAUUCCUAACCUUCAAGGAAAUAUCUAAUACCAUCCAUGUUAUGGGUACGUUAGGCGCCACUUCUGCUUUUGUUUUCAGCUGUAAUCCUUUUAAUAUAAUGUUUUGGCCAAAAAAAGAAAAGUAAAUUUUUUUUUACUAUGGUGAGUAGCACAAAUAGGACUCAUUACAAAAUACCAAAAUGUUUUAAUUUGGAACUUUUGAAACAUAUAGUACUAUUUAACUUGUUGUUUAGGUCAAAUAGGCCCCUUCCUAGAAUAGGUCACACAUCAUUUAAGAAUGGGCAAAUAUAUGUCCUAAGAACUCAAUAUUCAUCCUUUUCAUUAAAAAUAAUUAACCAAAAUCGUUUGAUAUGAUGUUACUUACAAGCUAAAUUGCCACUAUGACUCUAUAUGUUUGGAUUUAUAAGCAAAUUGCAUUAAAAAUGGUAAAAAAAUAUGAUAAAAUAAAUGCACUGUUUAUUUUUGUAACUAACAUUAUAUUGCAUAUAUCGCGCGCAAUAGAUGACCCAUUAAGAUUCAAUUUUUAUACAUCUAUCGGAAAAACGAAAAAAAGAACAUUUGUACAUUCUUUUGUCGCAAUUCUUUUUCGCCGAAUUAGAUUAAAUGGUGCUCAAUACCAACCAAAUCUUAUAUAAAUAUAGUAACAUAUUUCGUAUGGUAUAUAUUUGUUACAAAGGAGAUACUCUUCUAAUUGUUGGCAAAACAAUAUUAAUACUUGCACGUUUCAAUCCACACGUGCUCAAGAAGAUCUAUGGUGUUGUUUAAAUGUUGGGAAAACUUCAAAUACCACCCCUAUGAUUUCACACUUUCUCACUUUAGUAUUCUGUGGUUUAAAAUGUAUCAGUUUAGUGUCCUAUGGCUUUAUUUUUAUCUUUUUGUUAUUGAUUCUAAUCAUUUUUUUGAUUAAAUUAGUGACAAAGUUAAAACUAAAGAACAAUAAAGUGAAUAUUCGAUAAAUCUAGGUGAGGUAUUUGAAAUUUUUUGUAUAUAAUUUAAUAAAAUAUUAACGCAAAAGCUGACAAAAAGAUAAAAAUAAAACCACAUUACACUAAUUUAAUAUAUUUUAAACCACAUGAUACUAAAGUGGAAAAAGUACGAAACCACGGGAGUGGUCUUUGAAUUUUACCCUUAAAUGUUUAAUGUGGGGAGGAGAGCUUCUAGAAGCUAUAUAUAGGAUGAUCACCAUGAGUGGGGCAAGGAGAGGUGGGUAGAGAAAAAGUUGUGGUUGAGGUGUAGUGAGGUUGGGUUCACCACUUACACCUUCCACUCCAAUAAUAUCUCCUUGUGGAGCAAGUUAGUAGCUAUGAAGUUGGGUCACAAUGAACGAAAAAGUUUUUUCUGUAACAGAUAUUUUUAAUAUAAAAAUUAAUAUAUUAAUUAUUAUUGUGAAAAUUAAAUCGUAAAUAACAUUAAUAGUUUUUAAGUUAAAAUUGUCAGAUGAUGAUGAUAUUACUUUGACGUGAAAUAUUUGUUGCAGAAAAAAUUUUCUACAAAAAAAGUUUUGUAGUUACAUAGAGGAGGCAGGGUAUUCCCUACCACAAAUAGGAUCUACCAAACAACUCACUACUCACAAUCUCUAUCUUGCAAAGUUUUUUUUUUUUUUUUUUUUUUUUUUUAAAUCCCUACCAAACACCUCUCUAGUAGGUGGUAGCCCCACACAACAAUAGAUGGUAAACAGGAUCAUUGCCUACGUCUGGUCCACCAUGUUGGCCCGCGCACCACACACGCCGCACUUUAAUUAUCAUCUUAUCUAUAUUUUCAAUCCUAUCUAAAAUAAAUUUUUCAUUAGUAAAUUAAGAAAAGACCACCCAUAAACAUUGAGAAAUUAUUUCUACAACAUCAUAAAAUUAUAUUCUUAAAAUUUUAAAUACUCAAAGAGACGGUUUGGUCAUAUGCAUUUGAAAAUACAAUAUUAGUUGGAGGAUACAUGGAGUUGAAAAUGUAGCAAUUAUGACUGCAUGCAUCUUGUUUGGUUAGGUGUAGUAGGAAAUGCUGCAAGUAUAAAUACUUUUUUUGUUGUAUAUAGUUGAAAAGUGUAUUUUUAAAAUUUUACCACUUGAUAUAUAUAUAUAUAUAUAUAUAUAUAUAUAUACACACACACACACUGUGCUAUCAGAAGUAUAGAGGAUUUGAUACUUUCGAUUUUUUGACUCUUGGAUCAAGAAUUGUAUGGUUGGAAUGAUUGCGGUCUAUCUUAGGAUUGAGUAGUACUCAUAAGAUUGAGUAGUCUCCACAGAGUAAUAGUAUUAAUCAAAAAGUUAGAAAUGAUCAAAGGGAUUGAUCUAAGGGCCAAAAAGUCAAAGACAUCAUAUUCUUUAUGCUUCCGAUAGCAUAGUAGCUCUACUCUUUCUCUCUCCCUUCUCUCUCUCUCUCUCUCUCUCUCUCUCUCUCUCUCUCUAUAUAUAUAUAUAUAUAUAUAUAUAUAUAUAUAUAUAUAUAUAUAUGAUGGUAAGAUUGUCUCCAACAUGGAAAAAAAAUAUUUUCUGUUUAAGAAAUGAUUAGGAAGGUAUGUUUAUCUUUUGUUUAAAAUUACUCUCUUCAACUACUAUAUUUGGAACUGCGGUCAUUUUAGAUGCAGUUCUAUUUACUGCAGUUUACCUUCUCAUGCCGUUCCAACUACAAUAGCUGAAUUCAAAUGCAUCAAAUCAAACAUCAGAUCUAGAUAUGCAUUACAACUCGCAUACAACCAAACAGUUCCUAAAUAUAUAUUUAAUAGUAUCUAAGUACCAAACUGAAUUCAAUUUUAGAAUUUGAUGUUUCAAGUAUAAGAGUACCUUUUAGCAUUAUAAAUGUAAAUGAUACCUGAUUCAUUUAUAACAGGUACCAUGUUAAACUUGCUACAUGUUACUUGCUGGCCUUGCUUAAUACAAUACUAUAUACAUAGAUGGUAAUUAAACUGAGUAUUUGCUAACUGGUUGGUACAGAGAUAGAUGGGGCCAUUGUCUCAGAAGAGUCACUUGUUUAUUAGUGGUGGGUAACUACCACAUAUAUAAGUUGGCCAUCAUUUGUCUAUGAUUCAUAUAGUCUCAAAAUUAAUAAUUUUUAAUUUUAAUGACCAAUAUAAAGUAGAUUUGAGAUCAUCUGUUUACUAGAUAAAUACUGUCAAAAAAUUAAAAAAAUUUGAUUUCUAAAAUGUUCAAAUAGCCUAAAUUAUAUUUAACGAUACCAUUCGAAUGUUUCACGUCCAAAAACUACAUGAAAGUUAAUGGUCAUGUUCACUUCUGGAAGUAUUCUAGAGUUAAUAAUAUUGUGUCACCUAUGAUUAUACAUUGAUUCUUUUUCACACUUUAAUUAGCCAUACUUUAGGAAUACUAGAAGAAGCCAUAUAUUAAAGGGAAAACUUCAAAAACCCCCCUAUGGUUUCGCACGUUUUCAUUUUAGUACCCUAUGGUUUAAAGUGUAUCAAGUUAGUACCAUGUGGUUUCGCACUUUCUCACUUUAGUACCCUGAGAUUUCAAGUGUAUCAAGUUAGUACUCUGUGAUUUUAUUUUUGUAUCAAGUUAGUACCCUAUGGUUUUAUUUUUCUCUGAGUGAAAUAUUAAACCCCAGGAUACUAAAGUGAGAAAGUGCGAAACCACAGGGUACUAACUUGGAUACAGUUUAAACCAUAAGGUACUAAAGUGAGAACGUGCGAAACCACAGGGUACUAACUUGAUACACUUUAAACCACAGGGUAUUAAAGUGAGAAAAAAUGAGACCACAAGGGGGUUUUUGAAGUUUUCCCUAUAUUAAAAUCACUUCUAGGCUUCUUGCUACAAUAGAAUCAAGCAUCAAUUGCAGCUUCCUGACUUGGGCCUCAGAAAUCCCACUUCCACUUUUUUGUGAUGCAGCAAUAGCUUUAAAUUUGUCUAUUUCCAAAUCUGUAAUAAAAAUUACUGCAGCAAAAAUCAGAAGCAAAAGUGAUGUCAUAUUGCUACUACUAUAGUUUGUAUUGCUGUUGCAAAAAUAAACUUCCCAAAAACCAUUAUAUCUGCACAUUAAUUUUAGAUGGGGCAUCACUACAAGCUGGUUGAAAAUUAAUACUCUGCAAUUUAUGACAACCAAGUGAAAUUAAGAGCACUAGUCAAAAGAUCCUUCCAUACAUGCAUUAUAAUGCUGAGAACAAGAGCACAAAAAAAUGAUUGGAGAGAGAAAGAAACCUUCUAGUCAGAUAUACAUAAGAAUACAACUUACAAAUUAUUGCAGAGGCAGUGCAUGACAAGCGAGAAAACAGCAAGAAAACUAUUCAUUUUAUUAAAGAGGAAAGAAGCUUGAGUUGUUCAUCUAGUACUACUCACUUAAGAGGUUCUCCACUGCAACUCGAUUUGAAUCCGCCCGUUUUUGGAGUCGAUCAGAUGGUAUUUCUCGUUGAUUCGCUUGUUGCUGACGACGUCUGCGAGGCUGAUGACUACAUAACCCAGAGUUUCCUUCAACAGGCCAAAAAAGUACACUCAGAUUAGUGUUGAGGUAUUGCAUUUACCGGGGAAGCUCGAGUUCAAAUUAGUGUCAGGGUAUUAUACUAUAAUGAUCGCUUAGUAAAGUGUAUGAUGAGUUAAUUAGUGGUCGAGAAACAUUUUGUUCAAGGUAUGAAAAGGAAAGUCGAGUUGUACGGAAUUUAAGACUAAGGUAGCACAUCUAUCCUCAUUGAUUUUCUCAUACAGACCAUGCUGAGAAGUUAACAGUAACUACACUGGAAAAAGAUAUCAGCAGCCUUUGAAAGAUCUUGUAUACACAUAUUAAGACAUUUUAUAUCGAAAUGUGAAAAUGCCCAUUAAAAAUGGUAUAGAAAAUAAAAGAAAGAUUUUGUAGGUACCUUCGAGUGUAUGCCGAUACUAGGUGGCCUGCUAAGGACUUCCACAUGCAUCUUAUCAUUAGUAGGUGGCUCUUCGCACAUGAACUGGAACUCCUCUUCCCAACGUGGAUCUCUGUUUUUCUUAAUGCACUGCAUCGAUUAGAGUAAAGAAGUCAUGUAAUUUAGUAGAUAUAAUCGCAAUACACAGGUUUGGUACGUAUAGGAAUGACGACGAUACAUACCUUAGUCUUUCUCUCCUCUCCUCUGAAAAGGAUUCUCACAUACGGAUUCGUAUGAUGCUUUCCUUCGAGAUCUUGAGCUUCAUGAACAGCAACUACAAGCAAACCACCACCAGCUGGUGUACCCUCAGGAGCCUUUUCGAUUACGUCAGUACCAUCACUAGUAUCAAUUUCGCUAUCACCUUCCUUGAACGGCUUGAAUGUGAGUUCUACGACUAAUUGUCCGCGCGACUUGUCAUUCUGUGGAUCAUUAGGAUCCAGAGUUUUGAGCAAGUCGAGCGUAAAAGAUCUCGUCUCAUCAGGAGUUAGAUCUUUUAAUGGAACAACAUUCAUGCCCAUUUUAUCAUGCUUCCCAACCUGCGGUUAAGAACGCAUGUUUAUAUGAAAUUGUACGAGAACCAAAUGAAAAUGUUUAUGUACAUAAUCGGGUUGAGAUGAGAAAGUCCGUAUAACCUGUUCCCAGUCAAAAACAUCGAAUUCCACAACUUGAGAUUCCGGGUCUUUCACUACCAACUUGAACUCUUCGUUCCACUCGGGAUUAAGAUUGUUGCGCUUUACAGUCGUCUUCUUUGACGGAAGCUUAUCAUCGGUUAGCUUCAAUUUGACAUACGGAUCAGCUUUACCCAUAAGAUCUUUCUUUUUCAGCUUACAUCCUCGGACAACAUUGACAUGUAGAAUACCCACGGGCUUCUUCAGGGCUCUAGAAGUUCCAUGCAGUAUAUUGUGUGAUCAAUUGCUACACUCAAUGUAAUGAUGUUUCCAAAAAAACAAGAAAGAAAAAACGAAAAGAGAGAGAGAGAGAACAUGACAUUACUUUGUUGGAUCCAUAAUUGGCACUUCUAGGACCUUAGGCCAGAGAUACAUAUUUGCUACCUGUUUCUUGAUAGUCUCCUGAAAAAAAAACACACAUAUUAGAGAGAGAGAGAGAGAGAGAGAGAGAGAGAGAGAGAGCGCUACAGCAUAAGGCAAAUAUAAUUUUCUAAGAGAGUAAUAGGUGUGCACAUCUUUGUCUUAUAGGAGAUACAUCGCUGACUAAUAAAAAAUCCAAAGAAUUUGCAUAUGGUUUACAAGAUGCCAUCAUUGGCGAAAAGCACCGUGAAUCUGCAGCAGUGUUUCCAACAGCUAAUUUCGACCAAAACAAAGUGAAUAAUAGAAACUACCAAUUCUGAAAAGCAAUUUCAUCCAUAGGAUUUUAAAUCCUAAAUAAAUGUUUGUCAGUUGUUUCCAUCUACUUUAACGAUUAUAAUCUAAUGAUCCUUAUAGACUUCUCAAAGGAGUGCACAAUCUCAAUUGUUAGUUGCAAGAAGCUGUAUCAUGCAAAAUUGCAGAAGAAAUGCGAAGAAAACAUCUUUAUUUCAGUUGUAUAACAAGUUGCGAGCAAAGUAUAUUCUUCAAGUAGUGUUAACUACUAAUUUGCUAAAAAUAUAUACUAGGCAGUAAUAGGUGCGCACAUCUCUGUUUCCUGUUCUAAAUGUGGAUUACCUGAUCCACAAUUUGAAUCUCAUUUUUCUGAUGCGUCAGGACUCUGACGAAGUUCAAUUAACAAAGGUACUAUCAGGUCAAUUGAAAUCAGUUUUCCAAUUGCACGAGUAAAUAAUGACAAGCUUUCACUAGAAUAUUAAGGAAUUUGUAUGUUUUCUACUUUGUAUUCUCACAGGAUCAUCCCAAAGUCCAUGCAAAUAAAUAAAUAAAUAAAUAAAUUCGACUGAGGAAAAUGAAAAGAGAACCUGAACAAAUCUGUAGAGUCCAGGAAUCGACAUGACAUCUGCUCCCAGAAGUUUUAGACCAAAGUCAACAUGCGGCUGCAGAAGCAAAGCCAAUUGCCGCAGAUUAAAAUGCUAACAAAGCACUUUAGUCGGGAGUAGAAGAAAUGAGUUUUCCUCAUUUAUACUUACCUUUUCCAUGAGAGAUACAAAGAUAUUAGCAAAACAAGGAAAGCUAGGAACCAACGGCUUCAAUGUAAUGCGCGGUACAGCAAAGACUUGCAAAUCUACCACCUAAAAAUCAUCAAUUUGAAACAAUAUCAACUCCAACUUACAUUUUAAAAUUUUUGAAAGGCUAUUUGGCGACUCAUUCUUCAUGACUCAUGUAAUUCAUGAAAAGUCAAACCUGUGCUGUUGCUUUCAACCCAAAUGCCUUGACAGCAACAGUUAUGUUAGGAUUUCCCGCCCAUUUGAUCGACGGUUCCAUGAUAAGCUCCUUCUCCUCUGUGAUGUAAACCUUCAUUCCUGGCCAAAAAAAAAAAAAAGAUGAAAAAUCAAAUCCUGCUAAAGCUAAUGACGAUUAAACCAUAAAUCAUAAGCUCCAAAAUAAAAUGCAACAUGCAAAGCAGAGAACAACCAACAAAAUCAUGCACUUAAUACGUUCUGGUGUCUCCAUAAGAGAGUGAAUUUAAUAUUUUUCUAUGGAACAACAAUAUUUCAGCACGAGAAGAGUCCAUUUUGCACACAAUUUUAUUGACAACAAUAUAGUUGAAAUAUGCAAUGUUAAAACUAACCUUGAAAUGUUGGUGGCAAAGAACCUAAUGUUAAGGUCUCAAAUUCAACUGAUUCAAUUUUGUAUUUCACAGUGUUCUCAGCAAUAAUCGGCUUAGCAAUUUCCUUUGCAGUUCUGCAGAUUGCCUGCAAAAGUGCAUGGAUAAGUAGUGGAACAAAAAAGAAAAAAAGGAUUUAUAUUCACUUGCAAAAUUUAUGUAAAAACACACUAAAGUUUUCCACAUACGGACCUUAUCAAGAUAAGGCCACAUCUGUUCAAUAAACUUGUUCAGCCAGUCAAUCUUCAGUAAAAGUGAGCAUGGAGUUAGUUGCACGAAUCACAAGAAUAGUUACUCAAUUUACCACGAUAAUGCAAUAUUGCUCGACUUCUUGAGCAAUAAGCAUAUACGUACUCUAUCAACGUCCGGAUUUUUCACCCAAUAAGGUAUUUCAGGAAGCAUACGCUGCAAAGAUUUCUCAUCUAGUUCAACAAGUGGCCUAACAACGGGAUCCUGUCAAAUCAUUAUAAAUACAAAAGGUUCGUAAGAAUCAUACAAUCUACCAAAAAUACUUCAAGAACUGUUACAAAAAUGUUGUUAACUCAACUAAUCAAGUCAAGUAAUUAGCCAGGAUAUCAUGCGAUGGAUGAAAUCACGCACAUAUUAUGAAGAACAGCACAUAUUAACCAUUGAAUUCACUGUCUACAACAUAAUGCGCAACUUAUAAGCAAAUCAAAAUCUGUGACAAGCACAGUAAUCACAUUAAGCAGGCUUUUCUUUUUCAAUGUGCUCGUCCAUUAAUCAACAAUUGAUUCUUAUUUCCUCUUGCUUAUUAUAAGACUAAAUGGUUACAAUUUAGACAAGCAUCCCAAACUAUUUCCCAAACUAUGCUAAUGGUGAGGUCUAGGUCGAGAUGUAUUUUGCCUUGUUUUGUCACAAAGUUUUCUUAAUAUUAUCAAACCUAAUACGCUGUAACUCUAACAGAAGAGCAAAGUAUAUCUGCAAGCAAUGGUUAUCAAAAGUGUCUAUUAUUUUUCUCUACAUGGCUUUUAAAGAAAAAAAAAAAAAAAAAAAAAAAAAAAAAACUAUAUGGCUUUAAAAAGGGUUAUUAUUACAUCUUUCUUAUUUUCGCAAUAAUCUAUCAGGCUACAAGUAGAGACCAAAGAAGUGUUUAUAACAAUUUAAUAGGCACUCAUAGUAUUGCUUAAAAAUACAUCAAACUGUGUCUUACUCAACAAAGCGAAAGAUUAGUUAGAUACUUUCUGUUAGAUAUAAGAAAAAUUAAACAGGCUGGUCGUGAAAUUUGUGUGCAAAAUUCUCCAACUGAAGAAACAGUUAUUGAUUUUUAAAAGUUACAACAAAUUUUUAAACAAUUUGAUCAAUAACCUUUUUCUUUGUGAACUAUGUAAUAUUAGUUUGUGAAGAGAAUUGUGCUUCAUUGAACAACAACAUAAACUUUUGCAUCAUUUAAACAAAUAUAUCACUUAAUCGCGAUCACUGCAUCCAAUUACGCAAAUUAUUUUGCGACAUAACAACAAAUUUAUGAACAAUUGUGAUCUGCUUGAAAGAUAAAUUUUACUUAAACAUUACAUAUCAGAAGGAAAAGUUAUCAUUAUAUUCUCUUGCAUUUGGCAUUACAAAACCACAAUUAACCAAAAAAAGGGGCAAAAACCAAAUUUUUUUUUUAAAAAAAACAAGAACAGAAACCAAAAUUUCUUUUAAUUUCAGAAUCAAACAGAACAAGAUAUUAGCCAAGAAAAAUGGGAAAAAUGUUACCUUUACAUCAGUGGGUUGGAAGUAGAUGAAGAGGUAAUAACCCACAACAAUCCCCAGAGAAACCCCAAUGCCGAAUCCAAAGAAACCCAAUAAAGUGCUAAAAAAACCCAUCUUUAAUCCCUCUCUAUAUCACCCAAAUCUCCCACCACCCACCCCCCAAAAAAAAACCCAAAAAUCCCUGUAAAACAAAUUAAAAAAGAGGAAAAAAAAAAGGAUUUUUUUACAAAAUUAAGAAAGAAAGAAACGGUUGGGGAAAGGGAAAGGAGGGGUUUUGGAAAUAAGUAAAUGCGAACCAGUGAGCAUUAAUGUGUGCGAAGGAGGCUUUUUUGGGGCGUUUCCCACAAGAGGAAUUAAUGAAGGGGUAGCAAUAAUAAUAAUAAUAAUAAUAAAAUGAAAAAUAAUAAAUGAUAAUAAUAAUAAUAAUAAUCAUAAUAAAGAGAGGGGAUGGGGAGAGACCCCAUUUGAGUAUAAUUGUGAGUGUCGGUAAUGUUGUAAGAAGAGAGAGAAAGAGAAGGAAAGAGGGAGAGAGAGAGAGAGAGAGAGUGUGUGUGUGUGUGUGUGUGUGUGUGUGUGUGGUGAUAGUUACUCUUGCAAAUAUCAACCACCCCAGCUUAUUAUUUCCAAGUUUUUUUAUAUGAUUUUAAAUUAAAUUAAACUACCAAAUUUGGUAACUAACUUAAUGUGCCUUUUAAUUAUUUUACAGUAACUAUCUUUCCAUUUUUAAUAUUUCCUCCUCAAUCUUUAAUUAUAGUUAAAUAACAAAAUAAGAUUUUUUAAGUAUAAAAGUAAAAUUUCUAAUUUAGAGCUUGAGAUAACAAUCAUUAACUUAGUCCAAUAAUAAUAAUAAUAAUUAUUAUUAUUAAGGUGAGAUUUUUGGGAUCUGCAAUAAUUGGACCUAAAAUAUCAAGAGUAAAAUAAGGUGAAAAUGAAAGGGGAUAAGAGGAAACAUGUGAGCACUUUGAUUGGUUUGAAAGGGUCCUCUCUAGCAACUUGUUUGUCAUUAUUAUUAACAGCUCAAUAACUAUAUUAUAGGAUCCCAUAGGGGAAGGGAUUUUGAAAGCCUCCCCAUUACCACAAAUCAUCUGGAGAGAGACUCGUUCUAUGUUGUGGCACUAUAGUCUUUGUCCCACCCAAUAGGUUGCUGCCCGUAGGGAUGUCAACGGGUCGGAUCGAGUGUGACUUUUUCGAAAUUCGAAUCCAAACUCGAAUUCAAAUCCAAUUAUAAAUUCAAAAUUCAAAUUCAAAAAAUAUGCAUGGUGAUAAAAUAACUGGAAUAAAGUUAUGCUGAACAAUUGGUAUCCAUCAUUACUAUCUGGUAUAAUUGGUUGGUAUCUGUUAACUAUAAAAAUAUUUAAACAUCGUUCUCUAACAGCUUAAGCUUUUAGAGUACAGCAGUUGUCUCGCAGGAAGUCCUGAGUUCGAGUCACGCCAGGCUCCUAGCAUAAUUAAUUUCCUCCCAUUUAAUUCAAGUCCACGUCAUGGGCCUUGCAAAAAGUCUUGAGCCCAGCCGUGAGGGGGAGUGUUUUUUUCUCUCUUUUUUUUUUUGAGAGAAAUAGGUAGCACGCUACACGCUUCGUUUAUUUAAUUUAGAAAUAAAUUUAGCUGGAAAUGUGAAUCAACUAGGAUUCGAAUUUCAGUUAAAUAUAAAAAUGUUUAAACAUCAUUCUCUAACAGCUUAAAAUUUUAGACUACAACGGUUGUUUCACUGUAUCUCAAUCGCCAACCAUGAGGUAAGGAGUUGAUUUUUUUGCAUAUGCCUUUGUCAAGGUAAAGAUUUAGCCUUAGUGGCAAGGUGCAAAUUAUGGAAUUACAAAAUAUUGCAUUUUAUUAUUUUGUAAUCCAUAAAAGUGGGAUAAGCAUGUUUCAAAUCCAUUGACUUUUUAUUAAACAAGUAACUGUGAAACGAUAGUUUUCGCGAAAUCUUCCGUUGAACUAAAUAUCAUUUUUAGCUAAACAUCAGUUACAAGAAAAUAGGCAAAUUUACCUUCUUUCUUUAGUGCUUUAAGGUGAUUAUUUGAAAUCUCUCUUGCUGGGAAAAAUUCAUUUAUUUUUGGCCUCAAAUGGUGUCAACUCCCUUGGAUUAGAUAUAUAGGAGAGUUUAAAAAGUUAAGUGUUCAUCGGCACGGACUCUAUCUAUCAUGCUAAUAAUAUAUCAGUACGAUUUGCUCCAAUGAUACAAUUCAAAAUCAUCUUUUCUUAAAAUUAGUAAGUUAUUUUUUCAAUCAAAUUUAAAAAAUUUGAUAAGACUAAACAAUUAGAAUAUUUUACUGCUAAAUAAAAUAAAUAUUUUAUUUCAUUAUACGUCGACAUAUAUGCGUUUUUUUUUUUUUUUUCGUAAUGGGCAUAUAUUGGCGUAACAUAACAUGCACUAUAUCGUAUUGUGCCAGUAAAUUUUCAAUACGAUUUCAUGCCUCGUCAUUCAGAUUCUUUGGAGGGAUCUCAUUCCAUUUAAAGCAUUGAGUAUGGGAUAUUUAGAUUUCUCCACAUGGCUAUCACCAUCAACAUUACUGAUCCUGAUAGCAACCAUUGUCCAUUGAAGGGAAUUCCAGAACCCUUGUUAUCGCAAUUUCAAAAUUUACAGAUGAUGGAGAGGACCACCCAACUAAUUAUUAUUAUUAUUAUUAUUAUUGAGAGAGAAAAUUAGGAAGUUAACUGCUUCAUUCACUUUUUUCUUAAAAACAAAUUAAGCUAGAAAUUUAAAAAUAUAAACUAACUAAGCUUCAAACUUAAAACCUCAUGCACCUACCAUCAAAUCUAUUUUUUUGGAGAGAUAGAUAGCACGCUACCCGCUUCGUUUAUUUCAUUUAAAAAUAAACUUAGCCGGAAACGUGAAUCAACUAUGAUUCGAACUUAGGUCUCGGGUACCAAUCACCAAGCCCUUCGCCACUUGCUCUAGGAACAGUCGGUACCAACCAUCAAAUCUUAAAAAUGUAAAACAACUGAGUUUGGAAUGUGUUAAUAUAGCAUUUUGAUGUGUGGUCAAAGUGGCAUCUGUUUCUUUCUUCUGCACUCAAUGAAAAGCAGGUAACACUCAUAGCAUUGAGCCAUUGACAGAUAGCCCAAGAGCCUGAAAUUAGCUGAAUGUCACAUUCUUCUUAAUUUCCCAGUUAUUUUUUUCAGCAAUGACAAUGCAGAAGAAGAGUAGAAGAGAAGAGUUUGUCUCCUAUUCUAAGUUGCAUAGAGUAAUCUGUUGUCGCAAUACAUAGCUAUACUUAUUUAUACAUACGGUCUUUUGCUGUCACUUAGGGCUCGUUUGUUUCACCAAAGGUGAAGUUCAGAGUAAAGUGGACUUUCGGAUAACUAAACUUUAGGUAAAAAUAACGUUUCUCUUGUUUAUGUAGUUGUGGAAUUAAAUUUUUUUUAAUUCUAUUGUUUAUUUGACAGAAAAUAAAUGACAUAAAAGUGGGCACGGGAGAGAUGGAUUACUAUGUUUUUACUUUUUUGUUUUCGUUUUUCACUUUAGCAAGGAGUGAGCCAAAUACAAUUACGCUAUUUUGGGGAGUUUGAGAUUCGACCAAAAGAACCAAACUACGAAAAUAAAUAUUUACAGUCAAAAUAUUAUGGAUAUAGUCCCCAGACAAAAUUAUUAGGGGAUUGUUCAGAUGGGCACCACAUGGCGAGUGGCGCCCAUCCCAAUUACCAUCCAGUAAAAUUUUUUUUUAAUUUAAUUUUAAUCUAAUAAAAAUAAUAUUUUUAUUGAACGAUUGGAAUGGACGCCACUCAUCAUGUGGUGCCCAUUUGGAUGAUUCUAAAUAAUUUUGUUUGGAGACUAUGUCCAUAAAAUUUUUUUUUUGACGGUGAAACGGACAAAACCAUAUCUUCACGUGUGUUCUUACUAUUACAGUCGAGACUUAUGAACCUCACAUGCAUGCCUGCAGCAAUGCUGUUAAUAUUUCAUCCGCAUAAAAUGCAGACACCACAUAAAAUGCUCACAGGACACUUGUAAAGUACUUGGACACUUGUAAAGUACUUGUGACAUAAAAUGCUCACAAGAUGCUUGUGAGGGUGUGUUUGGGAGUGGCUUCUUUGUUCUAGAAAAUGGCAACAUAUUAUCACCUCGUUCAUUUUUUCAAUAAGGGAAAAUUUUAAAUACCCCCUAUGGUUUUACUUUUUCUCACUUUUAUACUAUAUAGUUUAAAGUUUAUCAAGUUAGUACCAUGUGGUUUUGCACUUUUUUACUUUAGUAUCCUGUGGUUUAAAGUGUAUCAAGUUAGUACCCUGUGGUUUCGCACUUUCUCACUUAAGUACCAUGUGGUUUCGCACUUUCUCACUUUAGUACCCUGUGGUUUAAAAACUAUAGGGUAUUAACUUGAUAUAAAAAUAAAAUCACAGGGUACUAACUUGAUACAAAAAUAAAAUCACAGAGUACUAACUUGAUACACUUUAAACCACAGGGUACUAAAGUGAGAAAGUGAGAAACCACAGGGUACUAACUUGAUACACUUUAAACCACAGGGUACUAAAAUAAAAAAGUACAAAACCACAGGAGUUUUUUUUGAAGUUUUCUCUUAUUUUUUUACCACUUACAUUAAAGAGAGUAGAUAAGUGUGUUUGAAAGUUUGGCGCAUUUAUAUAAAACUAGUCUAGCAAUCCGCGCGAUAUAACGGAUAAAAAUUAUAAUAAAAAUUUAUAAAUUAAAAAUAAAAAAAUAAAAAUAAAAAUAUGAUUGGUUAAUAAUAUAAAAAAUAUAUUAGAUUAAAUUAGAAUGAGAAUAGAACUCAGAGGAGAACCAAAAAAGAAAAUGAAAAGAAAACUAUAGGAAAAUAAAAAUUGUUGCAUAGAUAGGAAUUUUAAAAAAAAAUUAAUGCAAGAAUAAAAAAGGAAGAAAAAAAAUUCUGGAGGUGAUUUCGUUGAGGUUGGUUUUGUUAUUCGAUGAAUUAUAACGGAUUUCGAUUUCUUCUUUUUUACAUCAAAAU
rnacentral:lncRNA from 1 species